GCCCUACGGGAGGCAGCAGUGAGGAAUAUUGGUCAAUGGCCGAGAGGCUGAACCAGCCAAGUCGCGUGAGGGAAGACGGCCCUACGGGUUGUAAACCUCUUUUGUCGGGGAGCAAAGAGAGUCACGUGUGACUCAUUGAGAGUACCCGAAGAAAAAGCAUCGGCUAACUCCGUGCCAGCAGCCGCGGUAAUACGGAGGAUGCGAGCGUUAUCCGGAUUUAUUGGGUUUAAAGGGUGCGCAGGCGGAGGUGCAGGUCGGCGGUCAAAUUGCGGGGCUCAACCCCGUACUGCCGUUGCACCUGCUGC
rnacentral:rRNA from 1 species